AGAGUUUGAUUAUGGCUCAGGAUGAACGCUGGCGGCGUGCCUAACACAUGCAAGUCGAGCGGAGAUAAGUGAAGCCUAGCGAUUCUUAUCUUAGCGGCGGAUGGGUGAGUAACACGUGGGUAACCUGCCCUGUACUGGGGAAUAACAGCUGGAAACGGCUGUUAAUGCCGCAUAUGCGCACGGAGCCGCAUGACUCUGGGCGGAAAGAUUUAUCGGUACAGGAUGGGCCCGCGCCGGAUUAACUAGUUGGCGGGGUAACGGCCCACCAAGGUGAUGAUCCGUAGCCGACCUGAGAGGGUGACCGGCCACAUUGGGACUGAGACACGGCCCAAACUCCUACGGGAGGCAGCAGUGGGGGAUAUUGCACAAUGGGGGAAACCCUGAUGCAGCGACGCCGCGUGAAGGAUGACGUAUUUCGGUAUGUAAACUUCUAUCAGCGGGGAAGAAGAUGACGGUACCCGACUAAGAAGCCCCGGCUAACUACGUGCCAGCCGCGGC
rnacentral:rRNA from 1 species